rnacentral:rRNA from 1 species
CCUACGGGGGGCUGCAGUGGGGAAUAUUGCACAAUGGGCGCAAGCCUGAUGCAGCCAUGCCGCGUGUGUGAAGAAGGCCCUCGGGUUGUAAAGCACUUUCAGCGGGGAGGAAGGCGUUAAGGUUAAUAACCUUGUCGAUUGACGUUACCCGCAGAAGAAGCACCGGCUAACUCCGUGCCAGCAGCCGCGGUAAUACGGAGGGUGCAAGCGUUAAUCGGAAUUACUGGGCGUAAAGCGCACGCAGGCGGUCUGUCAAGUCGGAUGUGAAAUCCCCGGGCUCAACCUGGGAACUGCAUUCGAAACUGGCAGGCUAGAGUCUUGUAGAGGGGGGUAGAAUUCCAGGUGUAGCGGUGAAAUGCGUAGAGAUCUGGAGGAAUACCGGUGGCGAAGGCGGCCCCCUGGACAAAGGCUGACGCUCAGGUGCGAAAGCGUGGGGAGCAAACAGGAUUAGAUACCCGAGUAGUC